rnacentral:rRNA from 1 species
CCUACGGGUGGCAGCAGUGAGGAAUAUUGGUCAAUGGGCGAGAGCCUGAACCAGCCAAGUAGCGUGAGGGAUGACUGCCCUAUGGGUUGUAAACCUCUUUUGUCGGGGAGUAAAGUGCCGCACGUGUGCGGUUUGGCGAGUACCCUGAGAAAAAGCAUCGGCUAACUCCGUGCCAGCAGCCGCGGUAAUACGGAGGAUGCGAGCGUUAUCCGGAUUUAUUGGGUUUAAGGGGGGCGUAGGGGGUUGUUUAAGUCAGUGGUAAAAUUGGCGGGCUCAACCGAGUAGAGCAGUUGAAACUGGGAGUCUUGAGUACACGAGAAGUAGGCGGAAUGCGUGGUGUAGCGGUGAAAUGCAUAGAUAUCACGAAGAACCCCGAUUGCGAAGGCAGCUUACUAACGUGCAACUGACAUUGAUGCACGAAGGUGUGGGUAUCGAACAGGAUUAGAUACCCGAGUAGUC